UCAAACUUGGUCAUUUAGAGGAAGUAAAAGUCGUAACAAGGUAACCGUAGGUGAACCUGCGGUUGGAUCAUUUAUAUAUUGAACUAUGAGCAGUUUUGAGGCUAUGUGGAAACAAGUACAUAUAGUCCAAAACCUCAUAAUCAACCCCCAUGUUGCACUAUAAAACAAACAAAGCUUCCCCCUUAUAGAAUCAUAUACGUACAGGGUACGUGUAUGACGCCAAGUAAUAUAUGAAUUGCUUGUCGGAGGGGGGGAGAUUCUCAACCCAAUUAAACAAACAUCAAAUCUAUAUAAAGUCAUAAUAAUAACAAAUCUUCUUUAAUGAAGUAAUAUAAACCAAUUACAACUUUUGACAACGGAUCUCUAGGCUCUCGCAUCGAUGAAGAACGCAGC
rnacentral:misc_RNA from 1 species